rnacentral:tRNA from 10 species
AAAACUUAAAGUAUAAUUAAAAAAAAAUAAUAAUAAUGCAAAAACAAAACAAAAAAAAAAACAAAAAAAACAUUUAGCUGAAUGUGGUGGUAUGCCCCUGUAGUCCUAACUUCUAGGGAGGCUGAGGUAGGAGGAUCGCUUGAGCCCAAGAAUUUGAGCUAUAGUUAGGUGUGAUGGCACCACCGCACUCCAGCCUGGGCAACAGAGUGAGAUCCUGUCUCUAAAAAACAAACGAAAAAGGAUUACAGGUGACCUCUUCACCCAAACCCAAUGGAUUUGACUGUCAGUAGCCCCACCUUCCCUCCUGCCUCCAACCUAACCUCCAAGGGUUCUGUCUUCCUCUGACUCACCACUCCCCACCCCUGCCCCACAGUCUGGCUGCCUAUGGCUUCGCUUCAUAUUCCAGUCCAGAGAAACUCACACUCCAUGUUUGCAACUACCCAGUGGGUAGCUCAGGAGCCCUGAAGUUUGACUGGAAAGGAAGUGAUGAGGCCGGCAUAAGAUAACGUGAGUGAAUCACUGAAAUGAUUCUGUUCUCUUAACUCUAGAAGUCAGGAGGCUUUUUUUAAUUAGGAAAUUUGAGAACUAAAAACUAUGGAAGCGGACAAUGUAGCCGACAGGGAAGGUGGCCACCUUCCUGCUCUAGCUCCUUUAUUUCCCACUCACUAAGAAACUCUGCCCCAGCCCUCCUCCUCCUCCUCGGCGUUUUCUUCAGUUCCAUGAGCCACCAGCAUCUUUCCAAUUAAUUAAGUAAACCUGAGUAGGUCUCUUGCCUGCAAAGAGUCUGAUGGAUAACCCCUUCUCAGAACACCACUCAACUCCCAGCUCUUCCUCAAAGACCCACACAGACCCCUCUCGGAUCCCCUUCACUUCUCAUUUGGGCCUCACUGAUCAUCUCUGACCUAAGGUAACACCAGGCAUUCUAUACCACGUGUGCAUGGCCAUAAGGCAUCAUGAAAACCCUGCAGCGUCAAAGGGACCUGCAUUUGAAUACUGUCUAACCACGAUUUAACUCUCUGCCUGGGAGAUGUUAUUUAACUUACCUUCUGAACUGCACUUCCUGGGGAUACUGAGCAAGAAAUGAACAAGAAAUGCAUGGAGCCCAGUCCACUCUCUGCCAAACGCUACAUACACAGCCAGUGUUCCUAUCUUCCCUGACUACUUGAUGUCCCGUUUUAGAUGGAUGGUUCUUCUUGAGGCAAGGACUACGGUUUAUACCUCUGUAUCUAAGCACCUAGGAGGUGGGCUUUGUCUUUGGUGUUGUCAUCUCAUGCCCAAUCCUAAUCCCAGCCAUUGCCUGUGGAAUCAGCAGGAGCACUUUGACAUUCAAUGAUAAUGGUAUUAAUGACUGUAAUUGUAUUUGCCAUGAGUUGUAUUUGGAACAAAUGUCUCUAACUGUAUUUUUUAAAGCUUUGUUUUGGUUGCUAUUCUAUUAAUAUGCAGCUCCACAAAAGCUAAGAACUAGAAGAAAAAAUCUAUAAGAAAUCAGAAGCAGGAUGAAAUUCUACCCAAGUGUUUAAUCAUCCCUAGAGUCGUGUUAUUCUUCAUCAUGACCUAAUCUUUCCUGCUGAAACUUCAUCUCAUUUUCUAUGACAUUCUACAUUUUCAUAAUAUACUUUAGAUAGCCUCCAAGCCACUUUUCAGCUUUUAUCUCCAGCUUAUUUUACAUUGUUCUCAUAGCAGCUCAUAGUAAGCACUAUGCUAAGCACUUUGCAUAUAUUUUUACCUUAAUUCUUAUAAUGAUUUAUGACUACCUCCUAUACUAUAUAAACAUUAUAAACAUUAUUAUUAUCACCAUUUUAUAAAUGAGUAAGCUGCGGCUUAGAGGUCAUGUACCUUGCCCAAGGUCAUGCAGCAAGUAAUUAAUGGUGUCAGCGUCUGCACCUGAGUAGUCUGAUGCCAGCACACAGACUGCGUCAGAGAUUCCAUAACUUCCAUAACUUCUAAGGUUUUAAUGUUCUUGUUGGCCUUUCUCUCAUUUCUCUUUAUCCAUCAUGAUAAAUGUACACCAAUAUUGAUAAGAACUAUCCUGAUGGUAAGAAUGGGAAAAAGAUCUUAGUGUCCACGAGGACCAUGUUUACAGCACAGAAUAGCUAACGAAGAGGCAUCAAAAAGAACCCAACUCAUGCAAUUAAAUAAUUGCACGAAUUACUGGACAAAGACUUGUGGCAGCUAGAACCUCAAGCCAACGCCUGACAUUAAAGAAUCCCUGCUUGUAAUUAACAAUAACUCUGAUUUCAUGAGCAGCUACGAUGUGCUUUUUAGCACAAGGCACCCUGCGGAUGGCCCUUGUAGAUGAGAAAAUGGGAAUUCAGAGUCAUUAGGUGACUUGCUCAGAGUCAUGUAGCCACAAGUGGCAGAUCUGGUAUCUAUUUUAUUUUGACCUCUGUUUUAGCCCAGAGCCUGUGCUGACCACAUAUUCUCCAGAACCCAAUACCAUCACCUGAUGGCCAUGGGCAACACCUCUCGUCUAUCUCAGAGACUUGGUGGGAGGAUGGUCUGCACACCCUCUCCCCAUAACAUAAAGAAUUCAUUCAUGUCACCUCUGCCCACAUGCAGCUCAGCCUUCUAUUCAUUCACCCACUAUUCAGGCAGUGGAUGCCAGAAUUUUAACACCUUAUAUUUAUAGAAGGUUUUGCAGUCACAGAAGCUUUUUCAAGAUGAAGCUCAGGUGAGCUUGGUAAAUCAGUGAAAGGCUCUUAAUUUAGUGUUCUUCCCAUUUUGCCUUCCUCUCUCUUGUCAAAAAGUGCUAUCUGCAUUUAAAAAAAAAAAAAAAAACUCUGUUGUGGUGGAGGUUAGUGAGAAAAAUUCAGACCUCAUUUCUCCUCUACCAACCUGAGAUACUUCCCCCUGCCCCAAGACAGAGUCUUGCUCUCUCGCCCAGGGUGGAGUGUAGUAGUCCAAUCUCCGCUCACUGCAACCUCUGCCCCCUGGGUUUUCAAGCAGUUCUCCUGCCUCAGCCUCUGGAGUGCUGGGAUUACAGGCAUGCGCCACACGCCUGGCUGAUUUUUUUAUUUUAUUUCUUUUUUUUUUUCUAGACAGAGUUUCGCUCUUGUUGCCCAGGCUAGAGUGCAAUGGCAUGAUCUCAGCUCACUGCAACCUCCGCCUCCUGGGUUCAAGCUAUUCUUCUGCCUCAGCCUCCCCAGUAGCUGGGAUUACAGGCACCUGCCACCAUGCCCAGCUUAUUUUUUGUAUUUUUAGUAGAAACGGGGUUUCACUAUGUUGGCCAGGCUGGUCUCUAACUCCUGACCUCAGGCAAUCCACCCGCCUCGGCCUCCCAAAGUGCUGAGAUUACAGGUGUGAGCCAUCGCGCCUGGCCUAACUUUUGUAUUUUCAGUAGAGACGGGGUUUCACCAGGCUGGCCGGGCUGGUCUGCGAACUCCUGACCUCAUGAUCUGCCCGCCACGGCUUCCCAAAGUGCUGGGAUUACAGGUGUCAGCCACCGCACCCAGCCCUGAGAUGCUUUUUAAAGUAAUCUUUUUAUGCUAUGGUGGGGACAAUUUGUAAAAUACCUCCUUACUGUCUGUUAUGUCCCAAAAUCCAAUUUGUGAAAACCCAGUUGCCAGAGUGCCCCCAAAUGGCUUCCAUCAAACAUUGGAUAUUGAAAAGGCAUGUGUCUAUGUGACUAAAAUGACUGCAAUACCCCUUCCAAUUUCCCUGGGACCCAUAGGACACUACACUCAAAGGCUUGUGGCCCGAGGUUGCUUGUCACCCCCCAAGAGUAGAGGAAGCAAAUGACUGGAUAGCAGAAAAAAGAUAGAAAUCUUUUCAAGGGCUUGUCAACGUGGGAUCCAAGUUUUUCUCUCCUGGUGGCCUUUAAAAUCAAGUGAACUGCUCAAGCAGAAAAGAGUUAUCGGCUCCCUCAUUGGGGUCUAUGAGUCAGGCCACGUGUUGGGUGUUUUUUCUGCUGCAAUGGAGGGGCUAGUAUUACAUCAAUGGCAUAAAAGAGACUUUAUUCAUUGAAAGCAUCCAAAAUAGAAAUGUUGCUGUAAAAGUAAUUAGACUUGAAUUUAAAAGGAUCAGUUCCUCAUUAAGGGUUUCCUCAAAGGCUUUUUACAAGCUUACAGCUCAACUCUAAUCUCCAGUGUCAACUGUGCAAAGGAGCAAUGCAGAGAUGCAUAUUCACAUCCUAAGAAGUGUGCCCACUGGUUUCACCGAAAAAGCACAGGGAGGAUUUCACCGUACACAAAUAUAAAUACGUGCUCGUCACCACCAGCAGCCCAUCCCACACCCCUGAAAUGUAGACCCAGGAGAUCAAAGUCAACUCUUACACUUAUAAAACCCAGAAGAAAACUCUGUAAGUCAUGUUUAGAAUUACAAUUCGUUAUUCUCGAGCUGCCUGAAAUGUCAACGGAAACCCUUAAUUAAUAAGUUAGUUAGUUAAGAUCAUUCAUUGUAAUUCCCUAUCAGUAAUUUCUGGUUGUUUACCAUGUGUCUAGCUCUGUUCUAGGUUUGAGGAUACAAAGAUACAUAAGACACAUUCCUGCUCUCCCAGAACUCAGUCUCUAGCAGGGUUUCUCAAAGUGUGUCUGCAUUGGCGCACACAUGCAACUGAGUGAAGUAAAGCUGAAAAGUACGAAGCAGCAGGUCUGAUUUUCAGACUCCUAGGACCACUGAAUUAGAAUCUUUUUUUUUUUUUGAGAUGGAGUCUCGCUCUGUCACCCAGGCUGGCGUGCAGUGGCACAAACUCAACUCACUGCAACCUCUGCCUCAGCCUCCCGAGUAGCUGGGAUUACAGGCACCCACCACCACACCGGCUAAUUUUUGUAUUUUUAGUAAAGAUGGGGUUUCAUCAUGUUGGCCAGGCUGGUCUUGAACUCCCAAACUCAGGUGAUCCGCCCGCCUCGGCCUCCCAAAGCGCUGGAAUUAACAGGCAUGAGCCACCGUGCCCAGCCUGAAUUGGAAUCUUAAUCAGAACCUCAAAGCACAGGUUCAAGCAUCUUUUUGCAAGUCCUCCAGGUGACUUUUAUGUACACAGAAGUUAAGUUAUAGGCACUGUAAUUUCAAAGCAUUUGUAAAUAAUUUGUGAAUUUCAAUCCUGGGCUUUCUAUUGCAAACCCAUCUCUUAAGAGAAUGGAAACAACCCACUCUAUCCUACAUGAGCUGCAGAAUCAAACCUCGCCAGUUGAUUACAGUAGACGUCUCUUGGUUCUCCCUUCUCUCAGUGAGUCUCUACACCUCCCAUGCUCCACAAGGCCCACCACAAGCCCCCAACUUAUCUAUGUGGGGGUGGGGAACUCGCUGAUGUGGGUAAGAGUUAAAAAGCAUGUUGGAAUCAGACCUGGGUUUAAAUCCUAGCACUUUCGUUUAUUGGUUGUGAAACCAUAGGCAAGUUACUGGGCCUUUUGUUUCCUCUGUGAAAUGAAGAUAAUAAUAGUACCCUAGGGCAUAGGAGCAUCAGGGUUGGAAUGAAAUAAUGCAUGCAGAGAGCAUACACAUGGUUUUGUAUACAGUGAGCAUUUAUUAAGUGUUGUUACCGUGGUUACCAAAGUCCUAGGCAGAAGUCUUUUGGGGUAAUGGUUCAGAGAGCUCCAAAAAAAUCCCACAAAGUUCACACCAGGCUAGCGUUUUCACUGAAAGAGGCUCAAAAGUCAUGAAAUGUAGGCACCUAAAUGUAGACAUGAAUGAACAAUGGUAUACUUCUAAACCGUGCUGUGAAGUUUGCAAAUUAUGAAAUUCUAUAAUUUGUGGCUGGGUAAGGGAGGGUAAGCAAUGGUUGAUAUUUAAAGUAAACAUUUUUUUAACUGAAUUUAUAAAACACAGAUAUACUGCACCUAAAGCAAGCCAGAUAUAUAAAAAUCUGAACUUGUUACGCAUGUGUUUAUCAAAGGACAGACAUUCAGCUCCCUAAAACAUUUAUGAUUUUAUUUGCAAAAUCUUUACCCAAACACAAAAUUUCAGGAGGGCAUCUAUUACAAAGUUCAAAUAGGGUUGCUACAUUUAGCAAAUCAAAAUACAGGACACCCAGUUAAAUUUGAAUUUCAGAUAAACAAACUUUUUUCUUUUAGUAUCAUUAUGUCCUGUGAAGUAUUUGGCAACCCUCACUGCAAAGCAUGAUUGUUUUUGACCUAAGUUCACGACUUCAAUUCAGUAUUCUUAGCAAGCUUGAUGUUAGGAAAAGAAAAACUGCCUGGAAGUAAACUUAUCACGAGUCAGGUAAAUUAACAAAGUUUUAAGUGCUAUGAGAAAUUAAUUAAACCAGCUUAAUCACAGGGAUUAAAUUAAACCUGAGCUUUUCAUUAAAUGCUAAGAAGUUCAAAUUUCCCUGUAUGCCUGGAGAAAUUCCUGCUAUAAUCAGAGUGUUCUAAAGUGCUAUGUUAGUACUAGAGGAAUAAAUGGAGGAAAAGUUAACUUAGGAGAAAUUCGUUAUUAAGAUCAGAAGCCAAGGUUCAUCGUGUAAUCUGGGCUCAAGGUUCAAACUUGCUUUCACAGUGAAGAAACACCGACCCAGGGCUUCUUGCUGCUGCGUGAUAACUAACACCCCAGUGCAUGCUUUCUUUCAUUCCUUUAAUUUCCUCUAACCCAAGAGCAGGUAAAUGCUUUUUCUCUGAGUUAUAAUACUCUUUGAUGUACACAUGCACAAAAAAACAAACAAAAAAAAAAAAAAAAAAAAAAACACCUCAUUUUGGAUCUACCAAAUAGUUUCCAUGGCAAAAAGUUAAGUAGUUCUUUGGAAAUUUUCUGGUCUUAAAUAAGCUUUGCAUAUAGCAGGGCAAUGUGGGGGGUGAAAAUCAAGAAAUUUUCAGGACCCUGCCACUACGUUUUAUUUAAAAAAAAAAAAUGCUCACACCUGUAAUCCCAGCACUUUGGGAGGUCAAGGCAGAAGGAUUACUUGAGGCCAGGAGCUCAAGACCACCCUGGGCAACAUAGCAAGACCCCCAUCUCUACAAAAAAAAAAUUAAAACUAGCUGGGUGUGGUGGCACGCACCUGUAGUCCCAACUACUUGGGAAGCUGAGGUGGGAGGAUGACUUGACCCCAGGAAGUCGAGGCUGCAGUGAGCCAUAAUUGCACCACUGCACUCUAGCCUGGGCAACAGAGUAAGAUCCUGUCUCAAAAAAAAAAAAAUUCUUCUGCAACUGAUGUUAAUGCUAGUAUAUUUUAAUUCCUCCUAAAUUAGUAGGUCACGAGAGUUAAGAAAUUAUUCCACUGGAAAUGAAACUACUCCAGCAAUCAAAGGAAAUUAGAUAGGGCAGUAAUAGGCAGGACAUUAAACUUGAAAUCAGAAGGCCUGGUUUAUGUGCCCACCUCACCACUCACAGGUUGAGUGGCACUUGGCAAAUCAAUUUCUCUCCCUGGACCUCUUUUUCCUCGUCUGUAAAAUACAUGUUCCCUAAAGACUUUUUGCAGGCUGGAAUUCCAUGAUUCACAGUCCAUUUGUUUGAAUUCAGAUCUCUCAUCUUUUACUGUAACAUUUUGAAAAAAUCUGCGCAAUCUGGAAGCCUGUUGUGUAGAUACCACGGACACCUCUCUCACCCCAUUCUGAGGAUGAACUCACGUGCUCUUUACAGACCACUUGAAAAACAAGCAUCAGGCAGCUCAAGAGACACACAAGCCACAUGUCCAAAGACAGAAAAUGGCUUUAAACAACCAUCACCAUCGAAGAAGGAACUACAAUACCAGAGAAGUGGAACAUCAGAAGAGCUGUUGUUACAACUCUGGCUUCAGACAUUGAAAACUACUUAAGGUUGAAAAUCCUGAGUUCAUAACUAUCUGAAGGAAGGGCAGUGAAACAGAGUCCUUUGAGAAAUGGUAGGGAAAAGAGGUUGGCCAUGGAGAUAUGGGGAGACAUUCAUGGCUGCCUUCUUAACUUACAGGGCCUGCUGCAUGCUCACCACCACUCUCCCCUCACUCCCAGCUCACAAUUGAAGGCCAGCCACCUCUGAGACCACCUCUAGGUGCCCCAGCUCCAGGAAGACUUGCAUCCCAUAUGACAGAGGGAGAAUUAAAAGUGUCUGUGCUGAAAGAGGUGAUGUGCCUGCUCCCCUUCUGCCUCUGCCAUGAUUGGAAGCUUCCUGAGACCUUCCCAGAAGCCUAGCAGAUGCCAGCACUAUGCUUCCUGUACAGCCUGCAGAACCAUGAGCCAAUUAAACCUCUUUUCUUUAUACAUUACUCGCUCUCAGGUAUUUCUUUAUAGCAAUGCAAAACCAGCCUAACACAGGCAACUUACUUCACCUCCCCAUGCCUUGGUUUCUUAAUUCGUCAAAGAGAAAUAAUAAUAUUUAAUAAUAACACUAAUCCCAUUGAGUUAUCAUGAAGAUUAAAUAAAUGAAUGUAUGUAGUGUGUCUAGAACUGUCCAUCUUCAUAACAAGAACUACAUAAGUUUGCUGUGUUAUUUAUAUUAUUAUCAUGGGCUUACUGACAUUCAUUUUAGUAUUACAUUAUUUUUAUGCUGUGCUGAAAAUGCAAGUCUUUUACCUGCCACUCCCGAUGUGUCUCUCCAGCUGCCUGCUCCAACAGACUCUACAGUUUGUCAACAUGAGUUUUUUAAUUGCAUAAAUAAUUCAUGAAUACAUUCUGAUUGAAAGAGUUAAGCAGUAUAUAGAACAAAGUUUCUAAGUUCCUUCAACAUUUGCCCCUACUCCCCUCCCACUGUCAACAAUGUGAGGUCCCCUCCUAGUUCCCUUUUAUAUACUGGCAUAUAUAUGUAUACACUUUUUUACAGUAAUAUACUAAAUUUGCAUUCCAAUUGUUAUUCAAUUUGCUUAUUUUCCUUCAACUGUAUUUUGUAGAUUUUU